rnacentral:rRNA from 1 species
CUGGAGGUAUCAGAAGUGCGAAUGCUGACAUAAGUAACGAUAAAGCGGGUGAAAAGCCCGCUCGCCGGAAGACCAAGGGUUCCUGUCCAACGUUAAUCGGGGCAGGGUGAGUCGACCCCUAAGGCGAGGCCGAAAGGCGUAGUCGAUGGGAAACGGGUUAAUAUUCCCGUACUUGGUGUUACUGCGAAGGGGGGACGGAGAAGGCUAUGUUGGCCGGGCGACGGUUGUCCCGGUUUAAGCGUGUAGGUGUGUGUUCCAGGUAAAUCCGGUUCACUUUAACACUGAGGCGUGAUGACGAGGCACUACGGUGCUGAAGCAACAAAUGCCCUGCUUCCAGGAAAAGCCUCUAAGCAUCAG